GAUGAACGCUGGCGGCGUGCCUAAUACAUGCAAGUCGAGCGAACAGACGAGGAGCUUGCUCCUCUGACGUUAGCGGCGGACGGGUGAGUAACACGUGGAUAACCUACCUAUAAGACUGGGAUAACUUCGGGAAACCGGAGCUAAUACCGGAUAAUAUAUUGAACCGCAUGGUUCAAUAGUGAAAGACGGUUUUGCUGUCACUUAUAGAUGGAUCCGCGCCGCAUUAGCUAGUUGGUAAGGUAACGGCUUACCAAGGCGACGAUGCGUAGCCGACCUGAGAGGGUGAUCGGCCACACUGGAACUGAGACACGGUCCAGACUCCUACGGGAGGCAGCAGUAGGGAAGCUUCCGCAAUGGGCGAAAGCCUGACGGAGCAACGCCGCGUGAGUGAUGAAGGUCUUCGGAUCGUAAAACUCUGUUAUAGGGAAGAACAAAUGUGUAAGUAACUAUGCACGUCUUGACGGUACCUAAUCAGAAAGCCACGGCUAACUACGUG
rnacentral:rRNA from 1 species